AUACUUACCUUGUUCCGAACUCCCCAGCUCAAGAUUUGGGGGCUUCAGUGUGGAAGGCCUGCAUUGCACAUCGCGGUGUCGAUCCACGCUCUAUUGUCCUUCGGGGCCAUAGGGGGCGUAAUUUUUGAUAUCAUCCGCUUUUCAUUGUGAACGA
rnacentral:snRNA from 20 species